rnacentral:rRNA from 1 species
GAUGAACGCUGGCGGCGUGCCUAACACAUGCAAGUCGAACGAGGCACCUUACCUGAUUCUUCGGAUGAAAGUUUGGUGACUGAGUGGCGGACGGGUGAGUAACGCGUGGGUAACCUGCCCUGUACAGGGAGAUAACAGCUGGAAACGGCUGCUAAUACCGCAUAAGCGCACGAGGAGACAUCUCCUUGUGUGAAAAACUCCGGUGGUACAGGAUGGGCCCGCGUCUGAUUAGCUGGUUGGCAGGGUAACGGCCUACCAAGGCAACGAUCAGUAGCCGGUCUGAGAGGAUGAACGGCCACAUUGGAACUGAGACACGGUCCAAACUCCUACGGGAGGCAGCAGUGGGGAAUAUUGCACAAUGGGGGAAACCCUGAUGCAGCAACGCCGCGUGAGUGAAGAAGUAUUUCGGUAUGUAAAGCUCUAUCAGCAGGGAAGAUAAUGACGGUACCUGACUAAGAAGCUCCGGCUAAAUACGUG